rnacentral:rRNA from 1 species
UACGUAGGGGGCAAGCGUUAUCCGGAUUUACUGGGUGUAAAGGGAGCGUAGGUGGCAUGGUAAGUCAGAAGUGAAAACCCAGGGCUCAACUCUGUGGAUUGCUUUUGGAACUAUCAAGCUAGAGUGCUGGAGGGGUAAGCGGAAUUCCUAGUGUAGCGGUGAAAUGCGUAGAUAUUAGGAGGAACACCGGUGGCGAAGGCGACGAUCUGGGCUGCAACUGACGCUCAGUCCCGAAAGCGUGGGGAGCAAAUAGG